rnacentral:lncRNA from 1 species
GCAGUUUAUAUACCCACCUAUUCCGCCUACAGCAGUUUAGCUCCACCCACUUAGCCUAUAGCAGUUUAUAUACCCACCUAUUCCGCCUACAGCAGUUUAGCUCCACCCACUUAGCCUACAGCAGUUUAUAUACCCACCUAUUCAGCCUACAGCAGUUUAGCUCCACCCAUUCCGUCUACAGCAGUUUAGCUCCACCCACUUAGCCUACAGCAGUUUAUAUACCCACCUAUUCCGCCUACAGCAGUUUAGCUCCACCCAUUCCAUCUACAGCAGUUUAGCUCCACCCACUUAGCCUAAAGCAGUUUAUAUACCCACCUAUUCAGCCUACAUCAGUUUAGCUCCACCCACUUAGCCUAUAGCAGUUUAUAUACCCACCCAUUCUGCCUACAGCAGUUUAGCUCCACCCACUUAGCCUACAACACUUUAGCUCCACCUAUUCAGCCUACAGCACUUUAGCUCCACCCACUUAGCCUACAGCAGUUUAUAUACCCACCUAUUCCGCCUACAGCAGUUUAGCUCCACCCACUGAGCUUUUGGGGCUAACCUGUGUUGAUUUCCUCUCCCUCUUAUUAGACACACCCACACACAGUAUGAACAUACAGAAGAGCCAAUCGGAGACUGGCCUGACGCCCCCAUGGAUUGCCAGACUGGCUGGAGGUGGACAGAGCCCCGCCUCCUCAGGGGCGGAGUCAGACACUGAGGGCAGUAGCACUGAGAGCGAAUGGGUGAGUGAUUAGAGAGAGAGAAUGAAAGAAGGAGAAUGAGAGAGAAAGAGAUUAGAGAGAAACAGAGGAAGAAAGUGAUCUGUUCUUCUUCUUCUCCUUUAUCCUCUUCCUCAGUCUCACAGCCGACGCAUCCUGACCACACCCACUGCAGUACAACAGCGAAUCACAGAGCUGGACCAGCAGAGGGCGGAGCUCAAAUUAGAGUUAAGUUCAGGUUUUAAACCGGGUUAGGAUUAGCCGGGCUUAAUCAGUCCAACGCAGUCCAGCUGGGACAGACCGGGGCGACGCAUCAUAGAGUGGGGCAGACCCUCGGUUCCCCCGCCUCCUCACGUCACACUAUAUAAACUGUGUGUGUGUGUGUGUGUGUGUGUGUAUAAUGUGUGUGUGUGAAUAAUGUGUGUGUAUAAUGUGUGUGUAUAAUGUCUGUGUGUGUGUGUGUGUGUGUA